rnacentral:rRNA from 1 species
GGGCUCACACAAGCGGUGGAGCAUGUGGCUUAAUUCGAGGCUACGCGAAGAACCUUAUCCUGGACUUGACAUGUGCGAAAGCGCUGGGGAGUAGCCUGCGGAAACGUAAGGCCAACGGUAUCCAGUCCGGAACCCAGUACAGGUGCUGCAUGGCUGUCGUCAGCUCGUGUCGUGAGAUGUCGGGUUAAGUCCCUUAACGAGCGAAACCCUUGCCUCCAGUUGCCAGCGGGUCAUGCCGGGGACUCUGGAGGGACUGCCGGUGUUAAACCGGAGGAAGGCGGGGAUGACGUCAAGUCCUCAUGGCCUUUAUGUCCAGGGCUGCACACGUGCUACAAUGGCGUGAACAAAGGGACGCAAACCCGCGAGGGGGAGCAAAUCCCAAAAAACACGCCCCAGUUCAGAUCGAAGGCUGCAACUCGCCUUCGUGAAGCCGGAAUCGCUAGUAAUCGCAGGUCAGCAACACUGCGGUGAAUGUGUUCCUGAGCCUU